CAGUGUGGUGCCGACAGUUUGGAAAGACAAUGGAGUUGCUAGGGUCUGAUGAAGGUAAGACGGCGAUAGCUGCUAUGAAAAUGAAACCCGAUUGUAGAAAAGAUUUUCAGAUCGAGGAAGAAGAAAGAGAAAAACAAGGCAAGAAAUGACAAUAAAUGACUAUUCUAGAAAUCAAAAGAACGCUGUGGUAUUUCCAACCAUUCCCCGCCCAAAAAUCCAAUGGCUGAG
rnacentral:lncRNA from 1 species